rnacentral:rRNA from 1 species
GAUGAACGCUGGCGGCGUGCCUAAUACAUGCAAGUCGAGCGAACAGAUGAGGAGCUUGCUCCUCUGACGUUAGCGGCGGACGGGUGAGUAACACGUGGAUAACCUACCUAUAAGACUGGGAUAACUUCGGGAACCCGGAGCUAAUACCGGAUAAUAUAUUGAACCGCAUGGUCCAAUAGUGAAAGACGGUUUUGCUGUCACUUAUAGAUGGAUCCGCGCCGCAUUAGCUAGUUGGUAAGGUAACGGCUUACCAAGGAAACGAUGCGUAGCCGACCUGAGAGGGUGAUCGGCCACACUGGAACUGAGACACGGUCCAGACUCCUACGGGAGGCAGCAGUAGGGAAUCUUCCGCAAUGGGCGAAAGCCUGACGGAGCAACGCCGCGUGAGUGAUGAAGGUCUUCGGAUCGUAAAACUCUGUUAUUAGGGAAGAACAAAUGUGUAAGUAACUAUGCACGUCUUGACGGUACCUAAUCAGAAAGCCACGGCUAACUACGUG